GGGUGCGAUCAUACCAGCACUAAUGCACCGGAUCCCAUCAGAACUUUGCAGUUAAGCGCGCUUGGGCGAGAGAGUACUAGGAUGGGUGACC
rfam:Arabis alpina cultivar Pajares scaff_44275_1_contig_0, whole genome shotgun sequence.